rnacentral:lncRNA from 1 species
ACUACCACUUGCUAUAUUAUUUCAAGAGAUGAGUGCUCUAAAAAAAAGGAGAUACGAGGAAAUAAAAAGGGGCAAGUGCCCGGAACCUCGAAAGAAAAGAAAAAGUGAGACGAGAGGUAAUGGACAAGUGUCCGACAGUAGAAUUAGGGGUACAAGAUACCCACCUGAGAGAAAAGAAAAAGAAGAGCAUCUCAUUCUCCUCACAAAGUUUCAAAAAGCAAGAAAUGUAUGUAUCGCCUCAAAGAGCAAAAGUAGAAUUAGACUUUCACCGUUGUUAUCACCAUCAUCACCAUACACUAUUCAUUCGCCACACAUGCACAUCUUGAUUUGACUUAUUGAUUUGUUUCUUUAGAUCCAUGGUUUGACUAUACAAUAAAUGUCUUGUGAGUAUGUAUAUUUUAUCUCCCACCUAUGAGCUCCAGAUAUUAAAGCCUUAUUAGAGUAGGGUGAGAGAGAAGGCAAUGUCACUAUGCCUUAUACCACAAAUACCACAUAUCUUGAGAGACAGCAUAUACCAUCACUGCCUUGGUAAAGAUCUAGAAAUACCACAAAAGAGGGAUAUGAGAGAGUCAUACAAGGAAUCUCUGAGUUUCAUUUGAAAAUCUGCAAAAACUCCAGAGCUAUAGCUGAUCAAGAAUAAGAGACAUGGCACUUGACUAGACUGUUCUAUCUUUUAACUACUCAAGACAGAAGAGAUGGUUACAAGUCCCAUGGUGAAAGGUAAAAUAAGUAAGUUUUAAGUCUUGACAGUUUACUCUAACUCAGAGAUGAGACCUUAUUUAAAAACAUGUGUACCGUCAAUUUUUAAAGGCAUUACAACAACUUCUGAUCCAUCACUGAGUCUAUCCUUGCUCAGGGACGAGCAAGAGGUAAGCUUGGGGGAGUUUGUUGACGGUCCUUAAGUAUCAAUUUUAAUUAUCAAAUAAAAAAAGAAAAGGAUCCAAAUGAAAUCAACAUCUAGACUUAGGGUUUUAUCUAACAGAAUUCCACGAGUUUUGAUGUUUGUCUAUUUCUAUAGGAGGUUAUCAGAGAAUACGGAAGAAAGGCCCACACGUCGGGAUUACAUAGAGAUAUCAACGUGCCGCACAAUUAUCUUACAUCUAGAAGACUCUAGAAGCCACGGGAAGGAAGCGGAGGCCGAACGGGGCCAGACACUAGGCGCCCGCCCCCUGUAGGACUCCAAUCAGGACACUCUUUCGGGAAAGAUCUCCACCGACCUAAAGGAUCAAGUAUAACCGUUCAAUCAAUGUCAGUUUGAUCCAACGACCCAUAUUCACUAGAAGGGACUAUAAAACCAGACCCCCUGGCCCCUGAAGGAGAGAGCCUCUCAACCCUAAUUCAUUAUUCCUCAAGGGAGAAGAUGCUUCUGAUCAAGAUUAGAGCCACCACAUCAAUUAGAUAUCUAGAUUAGCAUAGCUACAUAGGAUUAGAACUAGAAGGAGUCAAUCUUCGAUUGGUUUCCGGAUCUGUCAAGAGGAUUCUUGGUAAUUCUCUAAUUGUUCUUCUAAUUGUUCUUCUAAUCAUCUUUGUCCUUCAAUAUUAUGAAUAUGACUUUGUUCUACUUCAAUAUAUUGCUUAUGACUUUGCUCUACUUGUUUAUAUUCAAGAUUAUAUUGUUCUAAGUUUAUCAUAGUUAUAUACUUGGCUUAGUUAGAUUGGAUUUAUAUACAUGUUUAGGAUCGUAUAGCGUUUAUCCAUCGGAUCCAUGGGUAAAUGAUAGAUAUUGUGUAGGCGUGGUGCUUAUACCGUAUUUAUCUGCGAUUGUACCCAAUAUGCCACAUCGUGGGGUAGUUCGUGAUAGUGACAGCUUCAUUGAUUCUUAUAUAGUCCCCCUCUCGUGUAUUGGGCUGGCAGAGCAACAUUAUUACAGGGGAGUGAUUGCUAUGUUUCUCAUUUACCUUGCUAAUAUCACUAUGAUGGGCGUAGUCUUUUCUCACAAUGAUUGCUAAGUAUGCUUGCACUAACUAUGAUAAUGCUAGACUAUAUAGUUGAGAAUAACUUAGGAAAUAUUCUUGUAGUUCGUUCUAAUACCAUGCUAAUGACUUUCUAGAGUAUCUAAUUGAGGUGCUUAUCAUAUUUAUUAUGUGGCUAAGUUAUGCUGAUCAGAUUAAUUAUCCUUGUCACUAUUCAUUACUUCAUAUAUCUUUUAUGUGACACUUACCCCUGUAUGAAAGAGUUAGAUAAAUGUUUUCAAUUAUACAUGCAAUGAUAGAUACUCAAUCUCAUAUUCUAUUCUGUAAUCAAUAUUGAUGAUUGCUAAUCCCUUCCCAGUGGUAAAAAUAUAAAUAACGAUACCUGGAAUACUUCCCGGUUAAAAUGCUACAUCGGUAUUAAUCUAUGCGCUUGCAGAUCCCAUUCAUUAUUUUAGAAGAGCAAUUGCAUAUUUCAAUACCGCGUCUCUCAUGUCAUGCUGGGGAUGACAACUUGGCUUAAGUGGUAUGAGGGAUAGGUUUGGCAUUUUUGGCACUGUUACUAGAAUUAGAAAACUGUCUACUUUUGGUAAUGAUGUUAAGAAUACCAAUACAUCACAUCUCCUCUGAGAUCACUCUCAAGAUCUCAUCAUUGGGAGUCCAUCACGUGGUCUAACUACUCGCUCUAGACAUGCUUUAUUUAUUGAACAUCACGCUUUUGUGUCUCUUGAAGAUGAACCCAAAACCAUAGAGGAAGCUCUUUGGGAUGCGGAUUGGAUCAUUGCCAUGCAAGAGGAGUUGAACAACUUCUCCCGCAUCAAGUAUGGACACUUGAAGAGCGACCCAAAGAUGCAAGUGUGAUUGGAACAAAGUGGGUCUUCCAGAACAAGAAAGAUGAUUAAGGCAAGGUGGUGCGCAACAAGGCAAGGCUCGUGGAAAAAGGCUUUUCACAAGUGGAAGGUCUUGACUUCGGUGAAACCUUUACACUGGUAGCAAUACUUGAAGCUAUCUGUAUCCUACUUGCAUAUGCAUCAAGUCAUGACAUUAAGUUGUUUCAAAUGAAUAUGAAAAGUUCCUUUUUAAAUGGUUACAUUAAUGAGCUUGCCUAUGUUGAGCAACCCCCCAGUUUUGAAGACUCUAGGUACCCCAAGCAUGUCUACCGGUUGUCUAAGGUGCUCUAUGGUCUUAAGGAGCUCCUAGAGCUUGGUAUGAGAGGUUUAGGGACUUCCUCAUUGAGAAGGGCUUCAAGAUUAGGAAAGUUGACACAACAAUCUUCACCAAGAAAAUGAAUGGGGAAAUCUGUCGACGAAAGCUGGUCGGUAGUCUACCUUGGGGUAUACCCAUGGUAGUAGUUUAUCGGCAGACAGGUGUGCAAGCUACGAACUUGACGGUGACGCAAGACACAGACAAGGAUUUUAUCCAGGUUCGGCCGCCGUGUGGGCGUAAUACCUACGUCCUACGUCUGAUUGUUUUGCUAUGUGUUGAAUUGAAUUGUCUAAGGGGGGUCCCAUGCCUCUCUUUAUAUAGUCCAGAGGGCAGGGUUACAGAUCUAGAAACUAAUCCUAGUCGGUUACAAUUGCCAUAGAUAAUGCGAUAUCAAUUCCUAUUCUAACCGACUAGAAUCCUGCUUGAUCCCUACGUCUUGUUUCCUUGCGCGAAAACUCCAAUCAGUUGGAUCAAGCUUCGAACCAUCUCGUGAUGGACCAAGUCUCCUGGUCCAAGUCUGGCCGUAAGGGUAUAGGGGUUUAUACCCCCACAGCUAGUCCCCGAGCACCAUGCAUUGUGAUGUAAUACGUCGUCUUGAGCUUCUGAGGCUCGUCAUCUUCAAUCAGCAUGAAAGUCGCCCAAAUAGUUGCAAUGGUAUUUUAACCAACUCAAAAGAUAGUUGAUCAACAUUUACAUCGAAGAAGCAGGUUGUUCGAAGAAUGCAUGGUGCUCUUAAUCAAAAAAUAUUUUCUUUCCUGAUGAAGUGUGCCCAUUUUACUUUUCUGAAAAGUAUGGACGUUCAAAGAUGCAAGCAUAUUGACCGCAAGGUGAAGUGUGCCCACUUAGUCCCCAAGCCUGGCAAUUGGUGACAUAAUCACGUGAUGCGAGGUCUAAAAAGAAAAUCCUUAAUAGAAAAGCUAAAACUGAAAUGCAUCGACAGAUGCAUCGUACCGAUGUAGUCCCCAAGAUUGUUGGAAGGUAAAGUAUGAGCCUUGUAGUAAGGUCUUGAAAAAUAAAACUAUCCCUUCAAACGUAUGCGAUCGAAUUUACUAGUUCUUGAGCAUAUUAUGCUCAACAGACGGUACAAUCCACAAUCUGCGAAUGAGGAGGCUCGUCAACCAGUCCCCGAGCAUAUGAUGCUCGGUGGUCGGUACAGUCCCCAGUCUACGAAUGAGCAGGCUGGUCGACUAGUCCCCGAGCGUAUCAUGCUCGGUGGUCGGUACAGUCCCCAGUCUAUGAAUGAGCGGGCUGGUCGACCAGUCCCCGAGUGUAUCAUGCUCGGUGGUCGGUAUAGUCCCCAGACUUUCAAGCAGAUCCAAACAAAUUAAUUACUUGGCUGUGAAAACAUCAUGUCGCCUCAUUAAUUUGCGAUGUGACGAGGCACCCUGCUAUCUUUUCAGUCUAUCGCAUAAAAAGGGGUGCCUACUAACUGCACAGCCGCUCAUUGCGCGGAUCAAGAAAGGAAAAUCAAUAAUCAGUUUAAAAAGGCUGCCAAAUUUACUGCAAGAGAAGUUGAAAACCGAAACGCCGCUUCCGCCGCAAAAACCGCACAUUUCCCCAAAAUGCAGGAAGUGGAAGAGGUGGUGCUACUGUUAUAAAAAGCCCAAUGAUGUGUCUUGGAAUCUUUACCCAGGAGUUGUGUACUAGCAUUCUGCCUGUAUUCCCUUGCUGUCUUCUACCUUCAUCUUCCUCAUCGCCUCCAAUCCCGCAAGACCUAGUUCAAAACUCACUGCACAGAAAGAAAUGGCCAAGAGCGACUCCAAGAAGAGGGACAAGAUGAUGGCCAAGGAGUGGGAGAAAUCACGGUGCACCACGAGGUCCCUCAAUGACCUCGUCGAGAUGGGGCUACUGCACGAACAGGAGCUUGGCGGCUGGAGAGCGCCGGAAGGGGAGAGUUACCCAGAUCCCCGAGCUGGUGAGAUUGUUGUUUUUGAAGAUUUUUUCAAGAGGGGGUUUGGGGUGCCUGUUCAUCCAUUUCUUCAAGGGUUGCUUCUUUACUAUGAGAUCGGGAUCUGCAAUCUGCACCCGAACUCCAUUCUGCUUGUUGCAACCUUCAUUCACCUCUGUGAGGCGUUUGGCGGUAUUGAGCCGCAUUUCGACCUUUUCUGCUACUUAUUCUGUUUGAGGAAGAAAGGAGCAGUCGGAGGCUCGAAGAUUGCAGUUGGAGUAUACCUCAUUCUCUGUGAUGGGAUGAAGAACCAGUAUCUCAGCUGCCCCUAGAACACCUCCCUCACCGAGUGGUAUAAGAGGUGGUUCUACAUCAGGGAGGAGCCGGGUAGCGCCACAUUCUGCGACGUCGGCUACAUCCCUGAGAAGAGGGUUAGCUGGACAGACCGGCCAGAGUUCACCGACCAAGUGUUCGAGUUGAUGAGCCUGAUCGACUGGUCACGCUUGGACAGGCCAGGAGUGGUCGGGAACUUUCUGAGCCGACAAGUCAUGCCCUGCCAGAGGAGAAUAAACUCGACGUAUGAGUACCAAGGUAGCCAGGACUCGACCAGGAUGCACCGGGACAACCUGGAGAAGCGAGAGAUCCAGCAGAGGAUCAAUGAAUUAUUCAACCUAGCCGACAACAGCUUCAUUCGGAGCGACAACCAGAUGCACGCCUACAAGCUGGGUCGACCAGCCCCCAAGGUAAUUGAAGUCUUUCUGUAAUGUUCUGAAAGUAUCAUACUCCUUUGCCAAUAGCUUGUUGUACUUUUGUUGUAGAUCAGAGACAUUGACCAGGUGUUGACGGUCCUUAAUGCUCACAUUUAACCGUCAACUAAUCAUGAAAAAGGAUCCAAAUGCAACCGACACCUAGACUUAGGGUUUCAUCUGAUAGAUUUCCAUGAGUUUUGGUAUUUGUCUAUUUCUGCAGAGGGUUAUCAGGAAAUAUGAAGGAAAGGCCCACACGUCGGGUUUACAUAGAGAAUUAAUGUGUGCGGUAAUUUUCCAUAGUCAGGAAGACUCUAGAAGCAACUCGACCGAAGUGGAGCCGAGACGGGCCUGGGACCAGGGCGCCCGCCCUUGAUCCUAGGGCGCCCGCCCUGGUACAAGCACCAAUCACAGAAUGGAGUACACCAUUACAAAGAUCUCGUCGAGCUGAUCGAAAUGCAUAUAUUAUUUGCUAUAUUUGGAGUUCGGAAUCAAGAGAUAUUAAUAAAAGAAGGACUCCACAUAAAAGAACUGUGGGAUUAAUUGGGCCCAAAUCAGAUUUUGGUCCAUUAAGGCCUUUGUGCAUUUUAAUGAGAUGUGGUGGAAAGUUUAGUACCACAUCGCUUGCUGAACCAAAAACACACAAAGGAAGAGGACUAUAUAAGCAAGGCCCCUGGCCCCUGGAGGAGAACAUAUCAUUAUAGAGUUGAGAGGUGCCCUCGAAGGAUAACCUUUCCUUUAUAGAGAUUUAGGGCUAGACAUUCCAAUGUAGUAGAUUAGUUCUAGUCGGGAGUUAGGGAGAGCGGAGCUGCGCUUCGGUCCUAGAGAAGUCUUCAGAGUUUUGGUAUGUCUUUAUAUUUAUCGUAAGACUUAUGCUUUAAUAUAUUUAUCUUCUCUAUUUACUUUUAUGCCUUUAUUAUUAUCGAGUAGUGUAGUUGUUAUAUUUUGGCAUAGGAUCUCCGUUCGCAUCGAGUGCUCUAGUUAUUCAUGGUAAUUAGAGUAGUAAUCGUUAGUGUAGACGUGGUGUCUAUACUAGAGGUUACCUGAGGUUGCACCCAGUCCUGUGGAUUGUUGUGGUAGCCCUAGGGUAGUGACAGCCCUAACGGUCGACGUAUUGCACCUCGUUCGGAUCGGUGUUUGUAGGACCGUAGUCUGGGCUUCCCAGCCCCCUUCUCAUAUCUUUCUGUGGUUGGUGUUCUGAUGUCCCAAAGUGCUAAUAUGUGAUUGCUAUAUCUAUUCAUUCUUUGUUAUCAUAGAACUGAAGUAAUAGAGAAGUAUACAGGAACCUAGGUCUCUCCCGUUGUCCUCCCGCUAUAGCUAUCUACGCAUUUAUCAUAGAAUUCUCACCUUUAUAUUAUUACCUAUAAUAUAUCAUUUACCCCUACUUUAGUCUAGUUGGUUUGUUAAAUUAGUAGAUGCAUGAUAGUAAGUUAUUAGAUUCUUUGACCUUAGCUUCCUAGUGGUAAAAUAUAAAUAACGAUACCUGGAAUAUGUGUCGCUUGCAGAAUUUUUCUUAUUCUUAUUGCACUUAACGAAUGUCAACACCGGGCGAUGGUAUAUGUGUCGCUGGCGCCAGGUAUGGAGCACCCGGCCGGAGUGGAUCCUCCAGCGGACAACGUUGCUCGGUGUGACCGAUACACCAGCAGUGACGAAGAGGAGAACCGGCCGGCGCCGACCACUGACGACAGGGUGGCCGGCAAGAGGCCGAUGGCUAUGGAGCCAUCUCCAGCGGAAGCAGCGCCAGCAGGGGCAGCUGCAGGUCCUGUGAUGGGCCAAGGGUCGACCUCAGGCAGCCGAGCGCCCAAGCGCCGCCGGCUUAUUAGAAUCGUUGAUGACGAUGAUGAGGAGGAAGAGGCGGCCCCGACCUUGGUCCGCAGACCCCGCGGCCACCCCAACGUCGCCCCAGGCGAUGGUGGUCGGGUUGCUGAGGACACGCCUGCCGCACACGUCGAGCAGGCGCGACCAGGCGGAGCAGAGAUAACGACGAUGGCUGGGCUAGCCAGGAGGAGAGUCUUCUUAGUUCAAAUCUGUAAGUCCAUCGAGGAAAGUUUCUUUUUUCGUGAAGUUUGAUUUCAGUGUGUAAUUUUGGAUUGGAUCUUCUUUGUAGUACUGCCUCGGAUGUUGAUCCUGGCAGUGUUUUGGACUCGAGGCCGACUGUGUCAAUGACCGCCGAGGAGAACGUUGCUGGACAGACUGCCCCAGAGCAGCCCGUGGCACGGCCCGCUGCUGCCCCGGCGAUGGAGGGGGUCGAUGAGGACCUAGCCCGAGACAGGGCCGAGGCGAGUGCCCCGAUGAGGGGUGAUGAAACCGCAUGGACUCGUCCCCCGAGCAGUGUGGAGGAGGGGGAAAACAAGGCUCCGUCUCCUGCUCUGGUUGAAGAGGAUAGGGCUCCGUCUCCAGCUCCGGUGGAGACUCCCAUGCAGGAGGGCGCUCCUGACCAAGGUAAGGGUCCUAUAAUACCCAUUACCAUGGUUUUGGGUAGUGUAGAGGGUGAAGAAGCUCAGGCGGUCUCCGACGACGAAGUGGAGGAGAUCCAGGGACGUCCCCGCGAUGGCCGCCAACACAUUUAUGUUUGGCGCCAGCGAUGGGACCACUAGGCCGGCCAUAAGGAGAUCGCUGAGGUCGAGGAGUCAGAGAGGGUAGAGCGCGCUGCCAAGCACCUCGUCAGCGAGGUUAAGGUAAGUGGUCUCACAUUUUGUUGGAGUAUAUAAACCGUGAAGUGUUUACUGUGUAGCAUGCCUGAAAUCCGCAGGACGCAAUGAAAACGGCAAAGUACCGGAAAAGGUGCUUCGACCAAAUUGAGGGCGUGGUCGUGGAGAACAAGACUCUGACUACGGAGGUGGACCGCCUUAGGUUGGAGGCCGAGAAGGAGGCCAAGGAGAAGGCAGCUCGGGAAGAGCAUGUGCUGGACCUGACUCGGCGACUAGCCGAUAAGGACCGUGAGAGGAGAAGUAAGUGAAAUUUCCUGGUCGAACAGUUGUAGCCGGCUAAGUGGUCAAUUUUUGUGAUGAAUAAUUAUCGCUUCAGGUCUGGAGGAGGAGAUUGAGCGCCGCCAAAAAGAGAGAGACCAGCUCAGCCAGGAGCACACGCGUGCGCUGGAGAGUGAGCGUAAGGCUGGCGAGGAGCUGAAGACCAGGAACCGAGAGCUGACUGGUAAGAUCCGUUUCGACUUCACCGACCAUGGAUUGAGUAUUGGCGGAGUGUGCUAUUGACUGUCUUCCUCUGAUUUUUCUUAAAACUUGUCGUAGUGCUCAAGGCCAACACCAAGAAGCACGUCGAGGACCUGGUCAAAGACCGGGACUCCUGGAAGAAAAAUUGCAUAAAAAUCUAGAAGGGAGUCACUCCGGUGCUGGACCUGGUCAGCCCAGAGCUCCCCGAGGACCAGCCCCGCGCACCGAGGCUGACCCCAGUCGAAAAGGCGCAACAAGCAUGGGGCUGGCUCUAGCAGUUCGUGAAGGACGCUGGGGAGUUUGCCGGAGCCCAUGUCCUCAGCAUGGUGCGCGCUCACUACCCCCUGGUCGAUCUGACCUGGUUGGAGAGGGGAUACCCAAAGGAGGUUGGUCCGAAGGAGGCGGAUGACCUUCGCGUCGGCCUACUAGAGCUGUCAUCGACGGUGAUCGGCAACAUCAACCUCUGCGGGACGUCUACUCCUCCUGAUCAGCCAGGGUCAGACAGGUCGGCCAGGGAGUUGUCGGGGGCAUCGAUUCCAGGAGAUGGGCGGUCGACGCCUGCGGUCUCGACCAGCCAGGCGCCGGUGGCCCCGACCCCUUCCACGGCACCAGAGGCUCAUGCAGGCGAGCAACCCGAGUAGUAGGCUCUAGUGUAGUCUGUAGAGAUAGACUAGAAACUGCCCAGAGUGGUGUUUACUGUAAACUUUGUUUAUAAAGUUUGUAAUAAAGUCUAAUUUUAAGAACCAUGGUUUUGAGCGCUGUAAAUAAGUUGUCUUAGUGAUUAUCACUGCAUAUGUCGGGUACCCUUGAUUGAUUUCAUUGUGUGACUUGUUGAGGACGGAUGUUGUUGUAUUUGUCAAGUACUCUGCAUGUAUAGAAAUAUAUGGCGAAAGAAAAACAAAUUUUAUUAUUAUUCAUCAGAAAAGGAUACAAGUAAGAUGUACUGAAACUUAGGGGUAGAAACGCCGUAGUUUGUCUAUGUGCUAGGAGUUAGGGAGACUUGUCCCGUCUGGGUAAGCCAGCCUGUAGGAGGUGGGACGCGUGACUUCGGUGACCACAAAAGGUCCCUCCCAGGGCGUAGAUUGCUUAUGCAUUCCUUCCUGGCUUGUUUUCCAUUUGAGUACCAGAUCACCGACCAUGAAGGAGCGAUCCUUGACAUUCUUGUUGUAGUAUCGUCUCAUGGCUUCGAGGUACUUUGCUGUUCGAAGGCAAGAGGCCAACCGUUUCUCUUCUGUGCAAUUAAUUUCAAGUUCUCUGGCAUGGUCUACUGAAGACUGGUCGAAGUGCUCGACUCUUGGGGAUCCGAAAGUUACGUAUGAGGGGAGCACUGCCUUAGCCCCAUAAACCAUGAAAUAGGGGGAUACACCCGUGUUUCGACUAGGCUGUGUUCGGAGACCCCAGACCACUGCUGGUAAUUCUUUCAUCCACUGCCCCCGUGCUCUGUCAUUUUCUGUGUACAACCUCUUCUUUAGUGCAUCUAUAAUCAUCCCAUUGGCUCGAUCCACUUGACCGUUGGCUCGGGGAUGAGCUACCGACAUGUAUUUUAUGACUAUGCCUCUGUCAUCACAGAAAUCCCAGAAUGUAGUGCCGGUGAACUGAGUGCCCAGGUCGGUGAUUAUACUGUUAGGAACUCUGAAUCUAUGUAUGAUUUGAUUGAGGAAUUCUACAGCCUUCUCUAGAGUUGCUUUGACCAGUGGCAUGUACUCGAUCCACUUGGAGAACUUGUCGAUCAGCAAGAAUACGAAUUUGAAAUUCCCGAAGCGGGUUUGAAUGGCCCAAUCAUAUCAAGGCCCCAGCAGGCGAAUGGCCAAGAUGACGGUAUUGUCUGGAUCUCGUGAGCGGGUACAUGAGUCCUUUUGGUGAAGAACUAACACCCCUCACAACGCCGGACCAACUUCUCAGCGUCAGCCACUGUGGUUGGCCAGUAAAAACCUGCUCGGAAGGCCUUUCCGACCAGCGUUCUAGAAGCGGUGUGGUUGCCACAGGAUCCAGCGUGUAUGUCAUCUAGCAGCUUGAUGCCAUCGUCUUGGGUUAUGCAUUUCAACAGGACUUCUGAGUUUGCAUUUUUUCGCAUAAGUCGGUCGUCGACCAUUAUAUAGUUUUAGGAUCAUCGGAUGAGACGUUCAUUCUCUGUCCUAUCUUGAAAUCCUAAACCGUCCGAGAGGUACUUAACGAAAGGUGGCAUUCUAGACGCUGUCACAAAACCGACCAAAUUAUAAGAGUUCAAGUGUAGAAACGAUCAACUCGCAAUCAAGUUUCCAGACUUGAGCCCAUAUAAUCCCGGUAGUCAACUAAAAUCUCAAAGGACUUCAAACCAACUUGCAACAAACCAAGAUCAUAAUAGUUCAACAUAAUACAGCGGAUGUUACAUAGUCAUUCAUUGCCGACGAAGCGGCACCACAUCGGAGUUACUUAGUUAUUACAACACAAGUUUUGGAGUAGCGGAAGCAAAAUAGUUUACACACACACUUUUCAUAAGUUCUUUUAGUGCCAGAGUCUCAUCUCAUCCACCAAAAGCAUCAGGGUAGAAAGUCGUUAGAGAACCGCGCCCAACGGUUAGUCCUCAUCCCCAGCGGGAUGGAGACAGGUCUUGCAGAAGCCAUCAUAAAAGACAUCAUCUGCAACAGGUGGGAAUAAACCCUGAGUACGAGGAUGUACUCAGCUAGACUUACCCGUCUAACCAAACAUAAAAGACACCAAGGAUCAUGCAAGGCUAAGUAUAAGUGUAGCUAGCUUGACUCAGACAAUUUGCCAAAAGCUUAAGUGGGUACUACACCAUUUAUAAAGCAUCAUAUUAAUCAUCAUUAGCCUACUACUAGAUUAGCACCUGGACUAAACACUUCACUUGAUUAUUACAAACAAUAAUAACCACAUCAAGUUCAUCAUAUGUUCUUCCUUGCUAUCAUCAACAUCAUUAUCAAGAACCACUGUACUUAGUGAUUGCUACGUUUGCCGCUGCUCUAUCAAGUUCUCACUAUGCGGGAGAGAUGGUGAUUCGAAUUGAUUCCUAUCUAGCUAGAGGGUUAUUCCUAGCACUCACCCAAGCAUCCCCCGCCGGAGGGCAAACGGGUCACCUUUCGUACGACUCAGGAAUCGCGGCUCUGAUCAGCGCCACACUCCUAGGGCUACCACUCUGCCAGGGCGGUCAGAACUUUUAACUCACCUGCCUUUGGUCUUACGCCAAUGGCCCCCCGCACACCGCACUUCCUCUGGUAGUGCGCACUUUAUACUUGCCGGUCUUCCGGCCUGAGUCAUACUACUAGGCUUCGCGGUCGGAACGAGUUAUACGGCCAACUAAGUGUCAGGCAUGCGUUCAACAUGAGAAGAGGACGUACAACGAUUGGUCCUUAGCUGCCACAGAUGGAGUUACUAUAACCUUGCAAAACUCCGCCUGGCUUAAGUCAUUUUACUCAGGUUCUUUCCCACGAUAGCACAUAUAGUCAAUCGUGAUCCGACACAACCCUAAUUCGCGCAGGUGACAGGAUAUCACCCGACUUCUACCGAUUAAAGCAUGGCUAAGCUGCUACUCAAUCCUAACUCUACAACCAGGUAGUGGUAAUAUAUCUAGACAAGGAAAGGGCACAAUGCACUAAGGGCUUCAUCACAACUCCUAUACGUAAUGCAUCAAUAGAUAUAACAUAAUCAAGUAUGCUUUUGAAAUUAAAGUGGGAGACUUAAGAUGCUCCGGGGCUUGCCUUUCACAAAUGAGGCUGGCUCAUGAUUAGGGCACUCGACCUCCUCUUCGGGCUCCUCUUGUCCGGCUGGCUGGACCUCCGCCUCCUGAGUGAUCUCCGGGCCUUCGUGGUUCACCCGAUCGAGCUCGAACGAGGCUGCCGCUUCCGGUGCACCUAUUGCAUGAUGUGUGCAUACUAGAUGAGGAUGAAUGCUUGGUAACAUGAUUAGAACUUAACUGGACACUCAUUUACUAAGUAAGCUUCCAUUACAAGCUCACAAAUGAUUACCAACUUAACUAACAAGACUCAGCAAGUUAAACCAUUAAACAGCAACAACCAAAUAACAGAGCAGCUCAAGGAACAAUUCAUAACUAAUUCUAUACAGAUCCAACAAACAUAAAUGGGGACAUUCUGGAAAGCUUAUGAAAUUGUUUGCAUUUCAUCUUUAGAUAUCAUAGCGAGAUUCACCAGUUAAACAGGUGAACUAAACAAAUUUCCAGGAUCUGUUCCAGAAAAACAGAAAGCACCUAGUUCUGGAACUCAACUUGGAAGAGCCAUAACUUUUAAACUACUGGACUAAAUGAUCCCAAAUUUAAACUGCAGCUAUCUCACAAAGUUUACAACAUCUUUGAUUUAAGCAAGUCUUUCAUAAAACCAAGUUAUCAUCAAGCAAAGGUCAGAUUACUCCCUUGCUGUCCAGAACAGCUAUAAACCUUUAAUUAAUUAUUUGAUGAUAUGGCAAAAACAUAUUUAGUGCCAACCAAGUGGCUUAUACCUUAUAAGCACAAGCAUAACCUAAGAUUACCAGAACAUCACAAGUUGACCACUAUACAUAUAAUAACAAGGCAUUUAUUAAUUUAACUUCAUAAAAGGUCAUAAUUACAAAAUACCAGCAAAAGUACUCAGAAAAAUCUACAAAAAUUACAGAAGCACAAGCACGGCAUCUGGACACUACCAUAAAAUUUUCAGAGCAAUUGCACAUGCCAAACUUAAGAUAAGUAAUUAACAUGUAACAAGGUGCUUAUUUCAUAAAUUAAGAAACAUUGCAUAGAUAGUGUCAAACAACAGAUUUCAGAUUAUUUACAUGCUACUUAUUACUAUAAAUAAGCUUGACACCAAAGGAGAACACCAACAUAAGCUUCAAACAUUUAUUAUGAUUUAAAUAUGAAAUCAAGCCAUACUAUUAACAUAAAUUACAUAUCGGGGAUACAACACUCCAAAAAUCAUGAAAUAUUUAUCAGAGCAUUCUAAUACUACUUAGAGCAUAGCAUAAAAUUUUCACAGCAAUUGGAGCAGUAUAUCAAAAGAUAUGAAUUUACACAUAAUUAACAAGAUUAAUUCAUAACAAUUAUUUUUCACAGAAAACAUGGUGCAUGCUAUAUUUUUAUUAAAAACUAGCCAUCUCAUGAUUAUCACAAAAGAGCUCAGAAACUGUAGAUAUGAUUUUUGCAGGAUUGCAAGAAAUCUAGAUUUUAAAUAAAAGAGAGGAGGGAGCCGCUGUGUCACUGACAGCGGGACCCGCGUGUAAGCGACCCAGAGAACAGAGGACACAGUCGCCGGCGAUUGCUCGCCGACGGUGAGUGUUGGGUAUUUUAAACGCAAACAGAAAAAUCCGCAAGCGCACGGAUACCGAUGUAGCUUUCACCCGGGAGUAUUCCAGAGUAUCGAUUUUCCACAGAGAACGUGAGUGUACUAAUUAAGAUCCAAGAUCGCCCAAGGAUAACUAUAUAAUUAUUUUUGGUGGGAAGACAGGAAGUUUCCUGAGAGUUCUCUAGUUGAUCUAAGAAUCAAGAAUUACUUCAAGAUUAUCUAUAUCGGGACAUCAGAACACUAACCACAGAAAGAGAUGAGAAGGGGGCUAGGAAGCUCCGACUACGGUCCUACAAACACCGAUCCGAACGAGGUGGAAUACGUCGACCGUUAGGGCUGUCACUACCCUAAGGCUACCACAAACAAUCCGCAGGAUUGGGUGCAAUUCCAGAUAAUUGCAAGACUAAACACCAUGUCUAAUCUAUUAAUUACUACUCUAAUGUUUCAAAGAUUAGAGCACUUGAUGCAAGCGGAAUCCAAUAAAUAACUUGAAUGUAAAUAAAAGUAAUUAGAGAACUCAGGAGUUAUGAGUUGAAGAACCUGGAGAACGUUGAAGAACGAACCAGAUGCUGCAAAGUACAAUGUUGAGGAAGACCCGACAGAUCCGGCUCCUCCUCCGCUCUCCUCUUCUCUCUCCCUAUUUUCUAGAUUACAACUAGAACUAACUAGAACUAGAACUAGAGGAACUAGAACUAGAACUAGAUGAACUAGAACUAGAUCUAGAUGAACUAGAGGUAGAACUAGAAGAACUAGAGGGAUCCUCUCUACUUGGAUGAAGAAUUGAAACCCUAGCUUUGAUUCUGUAGAAGAGGUAUGAUCUCCAGGGGCCAGGGGGCCUUGCUUAUAUAGUCUUUUCAGAUGAAUCUGGGCCGUCGGAUCAAACCGACAUUAAUCGCACGGUUUUCCUUGGUCCCUUAGGUCGGUGGAGCACGAUCCGUAAAGUUGAAGCUGAUUGGUUACUGUAGCUGGGCGGGCACCCAAGGGACUUGGGCGGGCGCCCUGCCCCCGGGCCCGAUCGGCCUCCCGUUCGUUCCCGUGGCUUCUGGAGUCUUUUAGAUGGUAGAAAAUUGUACGGCACGUUAAUAUCUCUAUGUAAACCCGACGUGUGGGCCUUUCUUUCAUAUUUCCUGAUAACCCCCUGUAGAAAUAGGCAAACACCAAAACUCGUGGAAUUCUGUCAGAUAAAACCCUUAGUCUAGGUGUUGGCUGCAUUUGGAUCCUUUUCCAUGAUUAAUUGAUGGUUAAAUGUGAGCAUUAAGGACCGUCAACAGUGAGCUUCUCCGGCGGAUCCAAGGGCACCAACGUGAUCCUUGAGUGAUUCCGCGCUGAUAGAGGUAGGUGGCUCUAGGGUUUGAGCGACUGUUGACGGUCCUUAAUGCUCACAUUUAACCGUCAACUAAUUAUGGAAAAGGACCUUUAUGCAACUAAUAUCCAGAAUUAGGGUUUUAUCUGACAGAAUCCACGAGUUUUGGUGUUUGUCUAUUUCUGCAGGGGGUUAUCAGGAAAUACGGAGGAAAGGCUCACACGUCGGGUUUACAUAGAGAUAUUAACGUGCUGCGCAAUUUUCUAUCAUCUAGAAGACUCCAGAAGCCACGGGAACAAAGCGGAGGCAGAACGGGGUCUGGCCCAGGGCGCCCGCCCUAGAGACUAGGGCGCCCGCCCACCUUCUAUGCCCAAUCAGAGUCCUCUUCGGGGAUCAUGCUCCACCGACCUAAAGGAUCAAGGAUAACCGUUCAAUCAAUGUCGGUUUGAUCCGACGGCCCAGAUUCAUCUGAAAAUACUAUAUAAGCAAGGCCCCCUGGCCCCUAGAUAACAUACCUCUUCUACAGAAUCAAAGCUAGGGUUUCAAUUCUUCAUCCAAGUAGAGAGGAUCCCUCUAGUUCAUCUAGUUCUAGUUCUAGUUAGUUCUAGUUGUAAUCUUGAAAAUAGAGAGAGAGAAGAGGAGAGCGGAGGAGGAGGAGCCGGAUCUGUCGGAUCUUCCUCAACAUUGUACUUUUGCAGUCUAGUUCCUCUAGUUCUAGUUCUAGUUCCUCUAGUUCUAGUUCUAGUUAGUUCUAGUUGUAAUCUAGAAAAUAGGGAGAGAGAAGAGGAGAGCGGAGGAGGAGGAGCCGGAUCUGUCAGAUCUUCCUCAACAUUGUACUUUUGCAGCAACUGGUUCGUUCUUCAUCGUUCUCUAGGUUCUUCAAUUCAUAAUUCCUGAGUUCUUUAAUUACUUUUAUUUACAUUCAAGUUAUUUAUUGGAUUCCCGCUUGCAUCAAGUGCUCUUGUCUUUAUAACGCUAGAGUAGUAAUUAAUAGAUUAGACGUGGUGUUUAGUCUUGCAAUUACCUGGAAUUGCACCCAAUCCUGCGGAUUGUUGCGGUAGCCCUAGGGUAGUGACAGCCCUAACGGUCGAUGUAUUCCACCUCGUUCGGAUCGGUGUUUGUAGGACCGUAGUCAGAGCUUCCUAGCCCCCUUGUCAUCUCUUUCUGUGGUUAGUGUUCUGAUGUCCCGAAAUAAAUAAUCUUUGAAGUAAUUCUUGAUUCUUAGAUCAACUAGAGAACUCUCAGGAAACUUCCUCUCUUCCCACCAAAAAUAAUUAUAUAGUUAUCUUUGGGCGAUCUUGAAUCUAAAUUAGUACACUCACGUUCCCUGUGGAAAAUCGAUACUCUGGAAUACUCCCGGGUGAAAGCUACAUCGGUAUCCGUGCGCUUGCGGAUUUUUCUGUUUGCGUUUAAAAUACCCAACAAGCUUUUUGGCGCCGUUGCCGGGGUACGGUAGCUGUGCUAGUUUCGAACCAAGUCGUCCUUGUAUCCUUUUUCUUUUCCUUUUUCUACCACACUCACCUUACCAUUUUCACCACACCACAUGGAUUUCACUCCAAGAAUUAAUGAGCAUGGAAUUUAUUUUAUAGCCACUUUAUUUGCUCCAUGAUCAUAUGCAACAUCUUCCCAAUCUAUUGGUCUCUCCAACAUCACCACAUUCGAGAUCUCCAACCCCCUCAUCCUUUCUAUUUAUAAAAACUUUAAAAGGGCAGUUGUCGAUACAUAUGUCUAUAAUAAAUAUUGCAGAUCUCGUUGAGUUGAUCUUGAUAUAGGUCAGCGUUGGAGGGGAAACCACUUCGCCGACAUAAAUUGAUGGUUUCCCAAAGACAAGCUUAGUGUCCUAAAAUAAGCACUGAUCAGAUCGAAGAGCUUUUAAUUAUUUGCAACAUUACCUUGUGUAUUGAGCAUAUAAGGAUAAUUGUAAAAAAAUUCCUUCGGGUAUUCUUGUCACUAACCUUUCCAGGAUUGGAGCAAGAAGAUCGGAUGAAUGACAAGCACAAGGUAUGUCCAACCAAUCAUCGUACAACAUUGAAUUAAAUUCAUCCAAACUUGAAUUUUGCAAAAUUCAAGCUUGGGGGAGUACUUUACAUAAAAACAUCCUUUUCCAUGUUGGUAUGUUGGUUGUCCCUACCUUUGAGACAUGCUCAAUUUGUUAAAUACUAAUCACACUACUUCAUCUCCACUUGAGUAGAUCUCUAUAAAUGCUCUCAUGCUACCUUUAUUUUCUUUAGUAUAAGUCUAGGUUUGGUGUAGUUUCAUUUAUCUCUUAAUUAAGCAUGGUGCUUAGUUUAGGAAUGAUGAUCUUACUUCCAAGGGAUUUUAAAUUAAGCAUGGUGCUUAGGUCAAAAUGCCCUCCUAAAUCAAAUUAGACAUGGUGUCUAGGUUGAUUUUUGAGCCGAUAGUAUGCUAUAGUAGGUAUUGGAUAUUUUGUUGGACUAACCCCUACAGGAAAACUUUCAAUAUCGACCUGUGAAGUCCUGAGAUAAACUCACAUUGGAGACAAAGAGAGAGACACAUGAAGUUUAACAAUUUACACAAGGAAGGCAUAGCUCACAAGAGAUGAUCCAUGGAGGGUGCCACAAACACGAUGCAUAACCGCUAAGAAAGGAAAGCUUCCACAAGGUGAUACUGUACCAUCAUUCUUCAAGUAAGGUAACAUCUUAAGGUACUUGACUAUCACUUUUAUAAGUUUCUCCUUGGUUCUAACGUUCACAUGAAUAAAAGAGACAAACAUGUAUGAUUUACAACUCUAGAUUAACCAACACAAUCAAUUCAACAUGUUUAGUCCUUCCACCUUUGUGAUCCCACACUCCUAAUCGUAUGAACUAAAAUGUUGCACACGCAAUCUUUGGAAGAUAUAUAUAAAAAAACAUAAGUAUAGAAAGAUUAUAUUUCCAUUAGGUUGAGCGAUCUGAUCUGACAAAUGUUUUAAAUGCUACACUCAUGAUCUUUUUAUCCAUCAACGCUCACUAUGCUUAAGGUUAGAGAAGAACAAAUACACUUUUGGUUCUUUUGGUGUUUUCCACCAAUAGGGCCCAUGCACUUGAUCUCUGCCUUCUCUCUGUGAGCAGGUACACUUUGAGCAAAAUAUGAAGGAGUUUUACAACUCCCAGACUCCACCAAGUGAAGAACCUGGAUCUACGAGCACAAACACACUGGAGAUACUAGACACUCAGGCAAUCACUGCCCUAAGAUGCUUGAGGACGUAAACUACAUCAUCAACAACAACAACUACUACAACCGUCCUCAACAAAAUCAAGGUUGGAAUCAACAGAGGCCUAACUACUUAGCUUGCAGAUCAGACACUAAGUUUCCCAAAGGGAAUAUUGAAGAGCCUCUACGUCCGAGUUGGUACCUUGUACGCCCCAGCAUACUUUAUGGUAAUAGAGACCGGUAAUAAUGAGAGGGCACCCAUCAUCCUAGGGAGGCCAUUCCUGAACACCUCGGGAGCUGUCAUCUAUGCUAGUGCUACCAAGAUCAGUUUCUACAUCAAGGGGAGGAAGGAGACGUUUUCCUUCAAGAACAAGACUACACAAAGCUCAGAGCAAUCCCGACAUGAACCAAGGAAGAGGACCAACAGGAGGAACAUGAACAAGCAAAUGUGGACCGAGUUAGCUAAGAUGGUCUCUACAGUUCAAGGAGGUCAAGAUCGUCGACUUAAGUCACCGUUCCUGACCAAAAAGGACGACCCAGGUAUGCCAAGCAUCUAAUGCUCCAUUAAUGGAUACAACUUCUAGAAGACGCUUUGCGACACCAGGUCAGGCGUCAACAUAAUGGCCGCAGUCACCUAUCAGCUCUUGUUUGGAACCAUGCCCCUAAAACCAACAUACAUUCAACUCCAGAUGGCAGAUCAGACAUUCCGAAAGGUUGAAGGUAUAGUAACUGAUGUCCCUGUCAAAAUAGAUGAUCAUUUUGUCCAUACAGACUUUCAGGUUAUUGAUAUGGGAGAAGACGAGUACGAUCCACCAUCAUCGUUGGAAGAGCUUUCCUCAGCACCUUAAAGCAAUCAUCUACAUUGGAACCGGAGAAGUCCACAUGCACUUCCCUCUGAGAAGGUACGCCGCUAUUUUACUGACCCUAACUAUAUAGUUGAAAACUCUAAGCAGGUCAGGACAAGAAGAAUAUGAUGCAUCCACAACCAGAGGAGGCAAAUCAUCAAGGACGGAUGGGCAGACUACGAAGGAGAAGUGGUAAGGUCUGAAGACAUACAGCUUGAACAGAACUGUCCUGAGGAGACCAUAGCACCGAGUCAGGUGUGGAGAGAGAAGAUAGUUAUACAUAAAGAGGAGACACCGCCAGAAGCACCGACUAUGCCAUCCAAUGAAUCUCAGGACAACUGAGAAAACGGAGAGUCCCGUUCGGAGGACUUAAAAACACCGAACGCCUUGCCAAGAGGUUAACUUGGUAGUUAUCUUUUUCCUUUCAAUUAUUUCAAAUAGUUUACUUAGUUAAUUAUGUUUGUACUAUCCUAAAAAGAAAAUAAAAAUGUUAAAAACAGUAAGCCCCAUGUGAGUAUACGAGUGGCUUAAAACCCAUAAGUAUAUUCACUGUGGUGGCAUAAAAAUAAAAUAAAUAUUUUUCUGCUCUAUAAAAAUGAAAAUAUAAAAAUAGAGAGUAAUAUUUAUUGAGGAGGCUCAACAUGAUAAAGGCUAGAUAUUUAUGCUAAUACCUAAUCAAUUCCACAAAGUUUUGUUAUCUAUUUGAGCUCCACAGAAUUUAAGGAUCAAGAAGACUAGCAGACGGAGGACAUUCUAAGCGCUGUUAGGGUGUUGCCGACUUUCAAAUACACCUCUGCCACCUGCUAGCUACAACAGAAGAAAUUACAUCAAAAUUCACCUUGGGGGAGAGCACCCCCAUUUAUCCCGCUAAGUAUUUCUAUCUAUCUAUAUACAUAUACUAUAUUAAAAUAUAAAUAUACAUAACCAUGAAAAACCAAAUAAAGAUUUUUGUGCUUAUAUAUAUAUAUAUAUCUUUUGCUUAGUAUGCUUAAUAAAUAAAUAAAGUGGCUAUGCUAAACUGAAUCUUAAUAAUAAAACUCUAGCAUGGAUAUGAUGAAUAGUUGCUCUGCCUAAUUUUCAAAUUUGAGUUCUUUCUCUAGUUUAGACAUAACUGUUAUAAUUUAAAGCUUGCUCUAAACCUGAACUUGUGGGAAGAGAACUUGAUCUGAAGUCUAAGUUGUUAACAUAUAUGAUAUGGGAAGGUUGAGCUGUUGUUUAUCUGUUCCUAGAGAUGCUAGAAAACUGGAGGAUUUUAUCUUUGAAAAUCUUUAAAAUGUUGCAUGAUGAGUUCCUGUAUGAUGAGAGUUGAAAAUCCUACCACAGCUAUAUAUACAUGCUUAUUAGACUAUGAACCAUACAUUUACUUUUUACUGCUUAUAAGAAUUGAGUGUGGUCAAGCUGUGUAGACCCUUAGGAGCUUAUCAUGUGGUUAAAUCAAGAUUCACUUGCACGUUCACUCACACAUGCUGCUUCUACUCCGGAAGUAUGCAUCCACAUAUAUCCACUCAUUUCCAUCUCCAGAAUCUCCUAAAAAUAUUCUACUCCCAAUCCGAGAGAGAAUAGCCAAAAACAUUUCUAUUUUUCCCCUAUGGAAUAAAUGCUCAAGUUAUCUUGGUUACUACCACUUGCUAUAUUAUUUCAGGAAAUGAGUGCUCUAAAAAAAGAAAAAGAAAAGAUACGAGGAAAUAAAAAGGGGCAAGUGCCCGGAACCUCGAAAGAAAAGAAAAAGUGAGACGAGAGGUAAAAAUGGACAAGUGUCCGAUAGUAGAAUUAUGGUUACAAGAUACCCACCUGAGAGAAAAGAAAAAGAAAAUAUAGAGCAUCUCAUUCUCCUCAAAAAGUUUCAAAAGAGCAAGAAAGGUAUGUAUCCCCUCAAAAGAGCGCAAGUAGAAUUAGACUUUCACCAUUGUUAUCACCAUCAUCACCAUACACCAUUCAUUCGCCACACAUGCACAUCUUGAUUUGACUUAUUGACUUGUUCUUCUGGAUCCAUGGUUUGACUAUGCAAUAAAUGUCUUGUAAGUAUGUAUUAGCUGUCUCCCACCUAUGAGCUCUAGAUAUCAAAACCUUAUUAGAGUAGGGUGACAGAGAAGGCAAUGCCACUAUGCCUCAUACCAAAAAUACCUCAUACUUUGAGAGAAGGCAUACACCAUUACUGCCUUGGUAAGGAUCCAGAAAUACCACAAAAGAGAGACUAGAGAGACUCAUACAAGGAAUCUCUGAGUUUUAUUUGAAAAUCUACAAAAAACUCAAGAGCUAUAGUUAAUCGAAGAACAAGAGACAUGGCGCUUGACUAGACCGUUCUAUCUUUUAACUACUAAAGACACAAGUGACGGUUGCAAGCCCCAUGGUGGAAGGUAAAAUGAGUAAGUUUAAAUCUUAACAGUUUACCCUAACCCAGAGAUGAGAUCUUGUUUGAACACAUCUGUAUCUUUAAGGCAUGAAACCACUGCAGAAACUGUUAAGUUCAUCUUUGCUCAGGGACGAGCAAAGGUUAAGCUUGGGGGAGCUUGUUGACGGUCCUUAAUGCUCACAUUUAACCGACAACUAAUCAUGGAAAAGGACCUAUAUGCAACCAACAUCCAGAAUUAGGGUUUUAUCUAACAGAAUUCCACGAGUUUUGGUGUUUGUCUAUUUCUGCAGGGGGUUAUCAGGAAAUACGGAGGAAAGGCCCACACGUCGGGUUUACAUAGAGAUAUUAACGUGCCGCGCAAUUUUCUAUCAUCUAGAAGACUCCAGAAGCCACGGGAACGAAGCGGAGGCAGAACGGGGACUGGCCUAGGGUGCCCGCCCUAGAGACUAGGGCGCCCGCCCACCUUCUGUGCCCAAUCAGAGUCCUCUUCGGGGAUCAUGCUCCACCGACCUAAAGGAUCAAGGAUAACCGUUCAAUCAAUAUUGGUUUGAUCCGAUGGCCCAGAUUCAUCUGAAAAGACUAUAUAAGCAAGGCCCCCUGGCCCCUGGAGAACAUACCUCUUCUAAGAAUCAAAGCUAGGGUUUUAAUUCUUCAUCCAAGUAGAGAGGAUCCCUCUAGUUCAUCUAAUUCUAGUUCUAGUUCCUCUAGUUCUAGUUCUAGUUAGUUCUAGUUGUAAUCUAGAAAAUAGGGAGAGUGAAGAGGAGAGCG